UACAGAGGUCUCAAGCGUUGUUCGGAUUCAUUGGGCGUAAAGGGUGUGUAGGUGGCGCGCUAAGUCGGGUGUGAAAUUUCGGAGCUUAACUCCGAAACUGCAUUCGAUACUGGCGUGCUUGAGGACUGGAGAGGAGACUGGAAUUCAUGGUGUAGCAGUGAAAUGCGUAGAGAUCAUGAGGAAGACCAGUGGCGAAGGCGGGUCUCUGGACAGUUCCUGACACUGAGGAGCGAAAGUGUGGGGAGCGAACAGG
rnacentral:rRNA from 1 species